rfam:Ricinus communis cultivar Hale ctg_1100012356731, whole genome shotgun sequence.
AAACCAUGGUAUGGUCAGCUCCUUAGUAAAUCCUUGAAACAGUCCCAGCAAUCAUACAUAGUCUCAUUCUCCUGCUGAAUAAACCCUGCUAUAUCAUUCCUCAACUU